GUUUGGCACCUCGAUGUCGGCUCAUCACAUCCUGGGGCUGAAGUAGGUCCCAAGGGUAUGGCUGUUCGCCAUUUAAAGUGGUACGCGAGCUGGGUUUAGAACGUCGUGAGACAGUUCGGUCCCUAUCUGCCGUGGGCGCUGGAGAAUUGAGGGGGGCUGCUCCUAGUACGAGAGGACCGGAGUGGACGCAUCACUGGUGUUCGGGUUGUCAUGCCAAUGGCACUGCCCGGUAGCUAAAUGCGGAAGAGAUAAGUGCUGAAAGCAUCUAAGCACGAAACUUGCCCCGAGAUGAG
rnacentral:rRNA from 1 species